rnacentral:rRNA from 1 species
GACGAACGCUGGCGGCGUGCUUAACACAUGCAAGUCGAACGGUGAAGCUCCAGCUUGCUGGAGUGGAUCAGUGGCGAACGGGUGAGUAACACGUGAGCAACCUGCCCCUGACUCUGGAAUAAGCGCUGGAAACGGCGUCUAAUACUGGAUACGAGAAGGGUCCGCAUGGGCACUUUCUGGAAAGUUUUUCGGUUGGGGAUGGGCUCGCGGCCUAUCAGCUUGUUGGUGAGGUAAUGGCUCACCAAGGCGACGACGGGUAGCCGGCCUGAGAGGGCGACCGGCACCAGGGGGACAGAGACACGGCCAAGCCUCCUCGGGGGGGCGGCGGGGGGAAAUAUGGAAAAGGGGGCAAAAGCCGGAGCCAGCGCCGCGGCGGGAGGGAUGAGGGCCUUGGGUUUGUACCCCUUUUGCAGAGGGGAAAAAGAGAAAGGGAGGUACCCUGAAAAAGAACCCCCGACAAACUCCGCC